CGUGCACCAGUGGGGUCCCUCGGCCUGGCCUGCGGGAUCAGGCUGAAACUGGCUCUCUGACAUCCCCAAGGGGUCUGGAUUGCGAGAGGGUGCAGGCCAGGCCGAGGGACCCCACUGGUGCACG
rfam:Myotis brandtii contig325300, whole genome shotgun sequence.